rnacentral:rRNA from 1 species
GACGAAGGGGGCAAGCGUUGUUCGGAAUUACUGGGCGUAAAGGGCGCGUAGGCGGCUCUUUAAGUCAGGCGUGAAAGCCCUGGGCUCAACCUGGGAGUGGCGCUUGAUACUGGAGGGCUAGAGAGUGGGAGAGGCGAGUGGAAUUCCUGGUGUAGCGGUGAAAUGCGCAGAUAUCAGGAGGAACACCUAUUGCGAAGGCAGCUCGCUGGGACGUAACUGACGCUGAGACGCGAAAGCGUGGGGAGCAAACAGG